GCUAAUACCGCAUAACAAUGUUGGAUGCAUAUUCGACAUUUGAAAGUACCAAAUGGUACACUGAGAGAUGGACCCGCGUUGUAUUAGCUAGUUGGUAGUGUAAUGGACUACCAAGGCGAUGAUACAUAGCCGACCUGAGAGGGUGAUCGGCCACAUUGGGACUGAGACACGGCCCAAACUCCUACGGGAGGCAGCAGUAGGGAAUCUUCGGCAAUGGACGAAAGUCUGACCGAGCAACGCCGCGUGAGUGAAGAAGGUUUUCGGAUCGUAAAACUCUGUUGUUAGAGAAGAACGUUGCAUAGAGUGGAAAAUUAUGCAAGUGACGGUAUCUAACCAGAAAGGGACGGCUAACUACGUGCCAGCAGCCGCGGUAAUACGUAGGUCCCGAGCGUUGUCCGGAUUUAUUGGGGCGUAAAGCGAGCGCAGGUGGUUUAAUAAGUCUGAUGUAAAAGGCAGUGGCUCAACCAUUGUGUGCAUUGGAAACUGUUAGACUUGAGUGCAGUAGAGGAGAGUGGAAUUCCAUGUGUAGCGGUGAAAUGCGUAGAUAUAUGGAGGAACACCGGUGGCGAAAGCGGCUCUCUGGACUGUCACUGACACUGAGGCUCGAAAGCGUGGGGUAGCAAACAGGAUUAGAUACCCUGGUAGUCCACGCCGUAAACGAUGAGUGCUAGUUGUUUGGGGCUAUCCAGCCCUAAGUGACGCAGCAAACGCAUUAAGCACUCCGCCUGGGGAGUACGACCGCAAGGUUGAAACUCAAAGGAAUUGACGGGGGCCCGCACAAGCGGUGGAGCAUGUGGUUUAAUUCGAAGCAACGCGAAGAACCUUACCAGGUCUUGACAUACUCGUGCUAUUCCUAGAGAUAGGAAGUUCCUUCGGGACACGGGAUACAGGUGGUGCAUGGUGUCGUCAGCUCGUGUC
rnacentral:rRNA from 1 species